rnacentral:rRNA from 1 species
UACAACAUAGCUUUAAUGCACUGGAUCCCAUUAGAACUCUGUAGUUAAGAGAUCUCGUGCUAGAGUAGUAUUGGGAUGGGUGACCGACUAGGAAGUCCUAGUGUUUUAC